rnacentral:rRNA from 1 species
AGAGUUUGAUCAUGGCUCAGGAUGAACGCUGGCGGCGUGCCUAAUACAUGCAAGUCGAGCGAACAGAUAAGGAGCUUGCUCCUUUGACGUUAGCGGCGGACGGGUGAGUAACACGUGGAUAACCUACCUAUAAGACUGGGAUAACUUCGGGAAACCGGAGCUAAUACCGGAUAACAUAUUGAACCGCAUGGUUCAAUAGUGAAAGGCGGCUUUGCUGUCACUUAUAGAUGGAUCCGCGCCGUAUUAGCUAGUUGGUAAGGUAACGGCUUACCAAGGCAACGAUACGUAGCCGACCUGAGAGGGUGAUCGGCCACACUGGAACUGAGACACGGUCCAGACUCCUACGGGAGGCAGCAGUAGGGAAUCUUCCGCAAUGGGCGAAAGCCUGACGGAGCAACGCCGCGUGAGUGAUGAAGGUCUUCGGAUCGUAAAACUCUGUUAUCAGGGAAGAACAAAUGUGUAAGUAACUGUGCACAUCUUGACGGUACCUGAUCAGAAAGCCACGGCUAACUACGUGCCAGCAGCCGCGGUAAUACGUAGGUGGCAAGCGUUAUCCGGAAUUAUUGGGCGUAAAGCGCGCGUAGGCGGUUUUUUAAGUCUGAUGUGAAAGCCCACGGCUCAACCGUGGAGGGUCAUUGGAAACUGGAAAACUUGAGUGCAGAAGAGGAAAGUGGAAUUCCAUGUGUAGCGGUGAAAUGCGCAGAGAUAUGGAGGAACACCAGUGGCGAAGGCGACUUUCUGGUCUGUAACUGACGCUGAUGUGCGAAAGCGUGGGGAUCAAACAGGAUUAGAUACCCUGGUAGUCCACGCCGUAAACGAUGAGUGCUAAGUGUUAGGGGGUUUCCGCCCCUUAGUGCUGCAGCUAACGCAUUAAGCACUCCGCCUGGGGAGUACGACCGCAAGGUUGAAACUCAAAGGAAUUGACGGGGACCCGCACAAGCGGUGGAGCAUGUGGUUUAAUUCGAAGCAACGCGAAGAACCUUACCAAAUCUUGACAUCCUUUGACCGCUCUAGAGAUAGAGUCUUCCCCUUCGGGGGACAAAGUGACAGGUGGUGGCAUGGUUGUCGUCAGCUCGUGUCGUGAGAUGUUGGGUUAAGUCCCGCAACGAGCGCAACCCUUAAGCUUAGUUGCCAUCAUUAAGUUGGGCACUCUAAGUUGACUGCCGGUGACAAACCGGAGGAAGGUGGGGAUGACGUCAAAUCAUCAUGCCCCUUAUGAUUUGGGCUACACACGUGCUACAAUGGACAAUACAAAGGGCAGCUAAACCGCGAGGUCAAGCAAAUCCCAUAAAGUUGUUCUCAGUUCGGAUUGUAGUCUGCAACUCGACUACAUGAAGCUGGAAUCGCUAGUAAUCGUAGAUCAGCAUGCUACGGUGAAUACGUUCCCGGGUCUUGUACACACCGCCCGUCACACCACGAGAGUUUGUAACACCCGAAGCCGGGGAGUAACCAUUUAGGAG